rnacentral:lncRNA from 1 species
GGAGUUGAAGAAAGAAAUGAGCCAAUCAACAUCCACUAACAUGUCAGCUGACGGAUCAGAGCUCCUCCCACCGCAGCCGUCCACUCCUGACGUCUUUCCAGGUGAGACUCAGAUGGAUCCAGGAAACAGCUGAGUGUGACGAACACAAACCCUUUAGUGUUGGACGUCCACAGCCGAAUGGAUCAGAGUGAGGACAGAGAGGAGGGAGCCCCUCCCUGGAAGACCACCCACAGACCCCCCACAGGACCUGGACCUGGACCUGGACCUGGACCUGGACCUGGACCUGGACCUGGACCCGAACCUGGACCUGGACCCAGCUGUGUGUCCAUGAAGAGUGAUGACUCCAUGGAUCGAUACAUAGAGUUUAAACCAGGCCGUGUUCCACAGACUGAAGCGGAGCAGCAGAGCUCAGAGGUUCCCAGUGAUCCACAGCAUCCGACUCAGCCGGACUCCACAUGUGAGGUGUGUACUGGUCCAACAUCUACUGGUCCAUCUGUUCUGUCCAACCAAUAAUGUCCAACGCUGAUGCAGUCCA